AUUAUGUCAGUUGAAGGUCCUAAGUACCUCAAAGGAUGAAGCUCUUGCCCACCGCCUGAGAUAUACUUACAUCAGCUUUCCCUAGUGUGUACAAUGUCUCCAAGAUCUUGUGAUGAAGCAAAUAUUCCAUACAAGGCCCUGUCUCUCCUGAUUCCCUCUCAUUUUCUUCUUGAACUAGAAUAUCCAACAUCUGCUCCAGAGUACAAUUCAGCUCAUAGAUCUCUAUAAAAGAAAAGAGCCAGAUUUUUAUCUGUUACACUGACGGCCACGGAGUUACUCUGAAUUUGCACCAGCGUAACUGAAAACAAGUAUUAACCCAAGCCUCAUCUGUUUCUAGGUGAAUUCAGUGUUUCUGAAAGCCUGUGCCAGACUGAGGAUUUCAAUUUCCAACACUGACAAUUUAUCCACAGAGAGAGCAGCAGCAACCACAAGCUUCCCAGACAUUGUCUCUCCCCCAACAAAUUGCCUCAACACAGCCCUCAAGGGACUGCUCUUAGAGGCGAAAAGGUAAUUCAGGGCUAGAUCCUGCUGUUCUUACUCAAUUAAAAUUCUUAUUGGCCUCA